rnacentral:tmRNA from 1 species
GGGGUUGUUACGGAUUCGACAGGCAUAGUUUGGGCUUGGAUUGCGUUUCGUGCAAGAGCUCACGUUAAUCGGCACACCAGUUAAAUAUAACUGCAAAACAAGAAAACAACUUCGCUUUCGCUGCCUAAAAAACAGUGAAGUGAGAUCGCCUCGGUAUCGCCCAUGUGCUCGAGUAGCGGUCCUAAAUCUAGUGGGAUACGAGUUACCUUUCCGUCUGCAAGUUAACUAAGAGAUCAUCAGACUGGUCAGUUAAGACGCGUGUUUUGCCGCAGCUUAGUUGAUAAGAUCUAAUAGCAAGACUAUGAACGUAGAUGUCUUUGUUGCAAUGUGUUUG